AAAGCUGCUCACAAGAAGAGCCAUGUCCCAGGCAGCAGAGAGCCAGCACUGCACUUGCUGUGCCAAGUCGCUGGCUAGGAGUGGCCAGAAACGCCAAGUCCCUCUAGGUCACUGUGAGAACCGACUGCCCAGGUCCUAGGCUUCGCAUGCCCCCAGAAUGGCCACUACGGAGGCUGAGGCUGGAAAGAGCACCGGGUGCCAGGAUGGGAACACUGCGUCGGUGGGGUGGUUGGCCAGGGUUUGGACUUUAAGUGUCUCCUAGAACCACCUAAGCAGGAGACCAGAGAGAGAGGAGAGAGGAAGGAGAGAGAGAGCCCCAAUCUUCACUGCCUUCCGGUUCCGGCCACACCUGAAGCCACGCCCAAAGGGGUGUGGCCACUCACAAAUACACUACAAAGGGCAUCAAGAUUGCCUGUGUGGAGGUGACGUGGCAACUGUCAGAAGGGGCCCUAAAAUGUCAGUUCUGUCACACAGUCACGUGACCAGUGGAAGAGGACAGCAGCCCUGGAGCCUGAGAGGCGCUGGGUAGUGCACCCCACUCUAAUGGGUGUGAACUCAGCGGGGGGGGGGGUCGGGGAGCACAGCGUGGGACCUGGGUGUGAGGAAAUUCCAGACGAGGCAGUGGGUGAUGCAGACAGUGUGGUGACUUUUUGUUUGUGAUCUAAUAAAGCUUGCCUGGAGAUCAGAGUGCAAAGCUAGCCACAGCCAUAGAGGCCAGGCGUGCAUGCGUGCGUGCGUGCGUG
rnacentral:lncRNA from 1 species